UGGGCUUGACAUGUAAAUGACAGCCGUGGAAACACGGACUUCCUUCGGGACACUUUCACAGGUGGUGCAUGGCUGUCGUCAGCUCGUGUCGUGAGAUGUUGGGUUAAGUCCCGCAACGAGCGCAACCCCCGUCCCAUGUUGCCAGCAUUUAGUUGGGGACUCAUGGGAGACUGCCGGUGACAAACCGGAGGAAGGUGGGGAUGACGUCUCCUCAUGCGUU
rnacentral:misc_RNA from 1 species